rnacentral:snRNA from 1 species
AUUGUUUUAGCCCCAAAUAACAACUCUGUUCUUAUCAGCUUAAUAUCUGAUAUGUUAGGCAAUGCCUAACUCAUAUAUUAAACUGAUUUUUGGACUUCGGCCAUGGGAUUGAAGCUAGCUUCGCCCUGGCCACGGGUUGUCUCGGUAUUGCACUACAUCCGCGUACGGCCCCUUCCCC